UGAUCACCAUGUGGCUUGUCUUGU
rnacentral:piRNA from 1 species